rnacentral:rRNA from 1 species
UUGGAGAGUUUGAUCCUGGCUCAGGACGAANNNNNNNNNNGUGCUUAACACAUGCAAGUCGAACGAAGAGCGAUGGAAGCUUGCUUCUAUCAAUCUUAGUGGCGAACGGGUGAGUAACGCGUAAUCAACCUGCCCUUCAGAGGGGGACAACAGUUGGAAACGACUGCUAAUACCGCAUACGAUCCAAUCUCGGCAUCGAGGAUGGAUGAAAGGUGGCCUCUAUUUAUAAGCUAUCACUGAAGGAGGGGAUUGCGUCUGAUUAGCUAGUUGGAGGGGUAACGGCCCACCAAGGCAAUGAUCAGUAGCCGGUCUGAGAGGAUGAACGGCCACAUUGGGACUGAGACACGGCC